rnacentral:rRNA from 1 species
GUGGGGAAUUUUGGACAAUGGGCGAAAGCCUGAUCCAGCAAUGCCGCGUGCAGGAUGAAGGCCUUCGGGUUGUAAACUGCUUUUGUACGGAACGAAACGGUCCGGGUUAAUACCCUGGGCUAAUGACGGUACCGUAAGAAUAAGUACCGGCUAACUACGUGCCAGCAGCCGCGGUAAUACGUAGGGUGCAAGCGUUAAUCGGAAUUACUGGGCGUAAAGCGUGCGCAGGCGGUUUUGUAAGACAGGCGUGAAAUCCCCGGGCUCAACCUGGGAAUUGCGCUUGUGACUGCAAGGCUGGAGUGCGGCAGAGGGGGAUGGAAUUCCGCGUGUAGCAGUGAAAUGCGUAGAUAUGCGGAGGAACACCGAUGGCGAAGGCAAUCCCCUGGGCCUGCACUGACGCUCAUGCACGAAAGCGUGGGGAGCAAACAGGAUUAGAUACCCUAGUAGUCC